rnacentral:rRNA from 1 species
GACGAACGCUGGCGGCGUGCUUAACACAUGCAAGUCGAACGGAAAGGCCCUGCUUUUGUGGGGUGCUCGAGUGGCGAACGGGUGAGUAACACGUGAGUAACCUGCCCUUGACUUUGGGAUAACUUCAGGAAACUGGGGCUAAUACCGGAUAGGAGCUCCUGCUGCAUGGUGGGGGUUGGAACGUUUCGGCUGUUGGGGAUGGACUCGCGGCUUAUCAGCUUGCUGGUGGGGUAGUGGCUUACCAAGGCUUUGACGGGUAGCCGGCCUGAGAGGGUGACCGGGCACAAUGGAACUGAGACACGGUACAGACGCCUACGGGAGGCAGCAGAGGGGAAGAUUGGACAAUGGGCGCAAGACUGAUCCAGCCAUACCGCGUGGGUGAAGAAGGCCUUCGGGUUGUAAAGCCCUUUUGUUGGGAAAGAAAAGCAGCAGGUUAAUACCCCGCUGUUCUGACGGUACACAAAGAAUAAGCACAGGCUAACUUCGUG